rnacentral:ncRNA from 1 species
ACAAUCGCGUUGAGCAAGAAGAGUACGUUUGGGCACUUUCGGUACAGAGAAUCGGUGUUGGUGGAAAUCCGGUGCGAAAUCCCGAAUGGAAUGGGCUUGCGAGCUGUUUUCUGAAUAUGAGUAGGGAAACACGGGGCUUCCACCGUUACAUGGAUAGGGCAUCGGAAAUUCAAAUUCCCGUGCCUGAAACGAGAUGGAAAGACUUUUUCCAAUACGAGGUGGCACCGCGGCGAAUGUUCGCCCUCGAA